CCUAACGGGUGGCAGCAGUGAGGAAUAUUGGUCAAUGGGCGUACGCCUGAACAAGCCAAGUCGCGUGAGGGAAGACUGCCCUAUGGGUUGUAAACCUCUUUUGUCAGGGAGCAAUUGGCGCUACGUGUAGCGUUAUCGAGAGUACCUGAAGAAAAAGCAUCGGCUAACUCCGUGCCAGCCGCCGCGGUAAUACGGAGGAUGCGAGCGUUCUCCGGAUUUAUUGGGUUAAAGGGGUGCGUAGGCGGAAUGCCAAGUCAGCGGUAAAAUCGCGGGGCUCAACCUCGCUCCGCCGUUGAAACUGGCGUUCUUGAGUGGGCGAGAGGUAUGCGGAAUGCGUGGUGUAGCGGUGAAAUGCAUAGAUAUCACGCAGAACUCCGAUUGCGAAGGCAGCAUACCGGCGCCCAACUGACGCUGAAGCACGAAAGCGUGGGUAUCGAACAGGAUUAGAUACCCCAGUAGUC
rnacentral:rRNA from 1 species